UUUGAAACAACUUUCCCAGAAAGUCAGUUAACUCCCCAGGGCUUGUUCCAGAGUCUGGCGCACAUGACCUCUACUCCACCAACAUGUUCUUUGCCCUCUGACUUCCCUCUGGUGGGGGGUUUGCAAGAGAAGGGGCGACUCGACCUCAGCCCGAAAAUAGCCUCUGGCACUCCAGCUGCAUGUGCAGAUGUUCGGCUCCGUCCCUAACCGCAUACUGCAUCUGCAUACUAUUUAGCACAGAAGUGUGCAGCGCUGGCUGGCGUUGGGAAAAAGAAAAAAACCAAAAACAAAAGAAGAAGAAGAAGAAGAUGGCCGCCCACCAGCUCUGAUGUAAUGAUGAGAGUAACCCCUGUGUCCCAGACACAUGAGCAACUGCUCACACUUUGCCUGCCCCAAAUCAGUGCAGGUAUUGUUUAAUAAGAGGUGAUCUCAGGUCAGCUUGCUCAGCUGUUCAGCAGCAGGAAGACUGUAUGAUCACAUGAACACAGGAAACCUAACCAACCUGCACAUGUACAGGGGACAACAGGCUGAGACCUCACUCAAAAUCUGCCACUUUUUUUUUCCUCAUUUAAAACAGGAAAUACAGUUUUAGAAUUUAAAAGAUUUUUAACCAAAGAAAGGAAACUGUUCAAUAUCUAGAAUAUUCAAGAUUCCAGAUUCUGCACUAUUUCUAGGUCACUAUUUAAACAAAUUUGUCAUAUUGACCAUGUUAACUGCUUUAUACAAAAGGUCAGAUUUUCCCUGAGGCAUGUGUUCAGACGACACUGCGAUGGAUGAGAUCUGACAUGGAUCAUCAGGUUUUACACAAAUUUGUGAAGUCCAUGCCAGCUUGAGUGAAUGCUGUCAUUAAAGGGGGACAUUUCAAUUCUGAAAUCCAUGAAAAUAUUUCUAAAUUUUCUAAAAAUAGAAGCAUUUUCACUAGUAUUCUCAGACUUUUGGACCCCACUGUACAUUACAAAUAAACAAUAAUAAAAAAAAAAAUCACCUAUUACAAGGAUAGCUGAUUUAAAUCACUUUGUCUAACACUGCCAUCUGCUGUGUCACAUUUGACUUGACAUGUGGUAACAAAGUUCCUUAUAAGUAGUAAAAAAUAAAUAAAUGUAUUAUGAUGGAUGGAGAGACCAAAGCUAAGUUAAGGUCACUAUAUUUGGACAAUACAGUUAAUAAAGAAAGAAAAUCCUUUA